AAUGAGGGGGGAAAAAAAAAGUCACGUGCACCACAACAUCUACCUGCAGCUGUGUUGCUGAAAAUCCCCCAACAGGAAGCGUGAGCAGCCAGCGGGAUGGAAGCUGCCAGUACAACGAGGCAUCAAGGAGGGCCAGGGCUGGUUGGGGCCGUGGAUGAAACUGGAGCCCAUCUGGGACCAAGAAAUAACCUGGCUCCUCUCUGCAUGUGCCGGGCACCGGUACACAUGUGGUCAGGCGCAACUGGGCCAGAAUUAAUACAUUUUGUUAAUGUUUUUAUUUCUGAGAGCGAGAGAGAGAGAGAGAGAGAGAAAGCACGAGCAUGGGAGAGGCGGGUGGGUGCAGAGGGCCCCAAAGAGGGCUCUGCGCUGAUAGCAGCAAGCCAGACACAGGGCUUGAACUCAAAAACUGAGAUCAUGACCCUGACUGAAGUGACACCUUCAGCCGACUGAGCCACCCAGACACCCCCAGAAUUAGUAUUCAUAGCCCAGUGAUAGUAAUGGUCACACUAUGUUCAUCGAUGGUAGCUCCUAGAACCACAAGUAGCCAGCAGGUGAAAUGUACUCAGUUAACCAUGAUUUGGGUUAUAACACAUCACAUCGUCCUUUUGGCUUUUGGUUUUUGACGUGAUGAUUCUUUCACCUCCGUAAAGAGUUGUAAGCCAUACAGGAACUCUAAUGACAAUUUAGGAAUUCAUAGGGUACGUGUAUGAUUCUGUAUUGUCUUCCUGAGUCCCCGUGUUCAGUCAUUUGGAUCCGUAGCUGAUCUUCCCUGGUGAAUUGGAACAAUGUGUGGAGAGCCCCCAAGGGAAGGAACUCUGAGAUCUUAGGGAAGCCAGUGGACACAGGGCUCCUAUAAACCUUUCUGGAAGGGGUACAGAUGCGAGAGAGCUGGCCCCUGAGAGCAUCUAUGCAGCCAAAGGCCACUGCCUGGCUCAAGUCCAUGCAGAUCAGCAUAUCUGCAUAUUGUAGUUCAGUAGGGACUGCUGCUCUUGAUUUAAUUAAUAGUUUGUUUGCAUAAUUUUCCUUAGGAAGGACUAUUAGCACAUCAAAAGGACGUUAAAAGUAUCCUUGGUAAUAAUAAAUACAAACCUAGUUUAUCACUUUGUCAGUUUCAACAAACACCACUCUGAUAUGCUAACCUUUCCCAUGGAGGCGCCCUAGUUAAGUCAACAGCCAGACAAGUGGGAGAAGGGAACAUAGGCCCAGUCUGUGAACUGGUUGAUGGGGAAAGCCAAAAUAAUUUCUGUGAGGAUACAUUUUUUGAAUUCCCAAAUACCUGAAAAAUGCCAGAGGCAUGUGUAUGACUUUUCCUUCCUCCCUCCUCCCACUUAAAAGCUUUUGUAGAGAACCUGCUGAGCUGGUAGCAUUUUUCUUUGCAUCUCAAGGGAGCACUUUGUAAAAAUGUUUUUAGAACACUAAUUUUUAUGCACCCCCCCGCCCUGCCCUGCCCAGGGGAAGAAGGAAAGGUGGGUCAUUUACAUGAAAUUAAAGAUUUUUGUAUAGCCCAUCUCUGUCCCACCCCUGAAGAAGACAGGGAGAACAGCAAAUGUCCUUGAAACGUCGGUAGCCAUGCGAGGUUUGAUUCAAGAAAGAAAAUGCCUCUGAAGGCGGAAGGCAGGGAACCACAGAGAAUGACCAAGCCCCUCAGUGGCUCAAGAUAUGCCAAAGUGCAGGUGAAACCAAACAACCUGAUCAUGUACACCUCUGGGUGGGACGGAGGAAGCUUCGCUCUGUGUGGCAGGUAUAUUCAGUAAAAUCUUCCUAGCCUCUCCAUGGAAACUUCGGCAGUUAAAGCCCAUGGGCCACUUUCAAAACCUAAAAUUCAAUUCUUUUAGCUAAAAAGAGAAGUUAUUUAUCUUAGUCAUCUGUGUACUACAUCCAGCCUCAUUUUGUUCAACAAAAGAUACUAAACAUAGUCAUCGCCUGGCAUGUCUGAGCCUGGUCUUAUUAACUGGAAACUGGAGAAAGAAGUUCAGAAAUUGACAAAAGAUCACCGAGGCAACUAGAAUGACAUCUGAAGUAGACGGGCGGUUUUGCCCUUUGCCAGCAUCUGCUCCUGCUCCCCCAGGCCCUUCAGAACUCUGGCUCUGUGUGGCAUUUCCAUGGGCUUCCAGGAAAGAAGGUCCGAGGCCACCUCCCAACUCCACUCUCUCCAGGGGAGUCUGAUCUGGUCGGGGGUGAUCUCAACCUACUGCCAGCGGUUGGUUCAGAAAUGAGUGUGUAAUCAUUUGGGCUGGUGAGGCAAAAAAAGAUUUUUCUUGGAGCUUCUGGGGGAAAAUAUCUUUAUUCUUCAGAGACUGCCUUGGGAAGCAUUUCUCUGGCCAUCACAUGUCCCUGGAUGUGAGGCCAUCUGCUACACAUGCCCUGCUACCAGGCUGAGGCUGAAGGUGCAGGCAGAAGAGGGCAGAGCUUAAGAGAGCAGCACGAAAGAGGGCCAGGAGCCCCAAGACCCCGUCAACCCCAAAGCCUCAAGUUCCUCUAGACUUUGGUUUUGUGGCCGUACUUUAUCUUAGUUUAUAAGCCAGUUUGAGUUUUCUGUUGCUUGCAAGAAAGGAAUCUUAACUAAUACAAGUUGUCAAAAACUAGAAACUUCUAAGUAGUCCUCAUGAGAAAGACAAAACCUGUUUGUUGCCUGCGUAAAAGGAAGAAUGUAAUAUUGACUAAUGGAUGAAAAGAAGAGAAACUGCAUCGUGAUAGAACUAGGAUGGCUUCCUCCACAGUGCAAAGGGUUCAACUAUCAAAUAAUUUAGCGCCGAACCUAAGGCACUGUCAUCACUCGGGAUAGUUUGAAUGUGACCAGGUAAAGUGGUCUAAAAUCCUAGAUAUCUCCCAGGGCCGUACUCCACCUCAGCAGAAGACCUGUUGCAGAGCAUGAAGCAGAUACAACCUAGUAUAUAAUCUAAAAUCGCCCCGGUCAAGAGACUGUUCUGGAGGCUCUGACAAUAAUCAUACAGUUCCCAGUGGAAGGGCAUGGUCUGGAGGAAAGUCACUUGAACUUGGGGAAGCCAAGUCUGGUUUUGUGCAAAAAUAAAAAUGGAAGGCUUCACGAAAUUGGAAAAGUAUCCCUCCCCGUCUGAAAUACACCCCCUGAGUCCCUGCUAUUUGAAAUUGUCAACUGGAGAAUAAAGACAGAGAUAAAGGAUCUCAAAUGCAAAUUUCCAUGAGAGCACUAACACAGUACUAACAGCUUGGCCACUCAAAAGUCUAUCUCACUAGUUCAAGAAAGUAAGCUUUGUGACGCCACAGGUAUUUUUGUCUUGUUCAUUACUCUAUCCCUUAUAACUAAAAGGGUGUUUAACCCAUAAUACAUGCAAAAUCACCAUUUGUGACUAAAUGAAUGACCGAUAAUCUGAGUCUUACCCAGAGCAAACUUUUAUGGGAAAGAAGAAAAUCUCCAGAGGUGGAUUUAUCAUGAGGCUGAGGAAUGUUAAGCAUUAGUGCCCCUCUCUGUGCUAGGAGGAACCCUACCAGUGCAUUCACUUGUCAUAUGUUUUUGCAAAAUUUGUAGAAGUCAGAUAUUUUAGUCUUGACAGGUCAGACUUCUGUCUCUUUCGACUCUAUCUUGCUCUCCUAUCAGGUGCCAUCAGUCACUGCAGGCUUUUUGGGGGGGGAGGGAAGCUAAGUCAAGUAGAUUUGAAAUACACUAAUUUUUGUGUAGCAGGAUAUAUUUAUGUGAUUCAUAGUCACUUCUGCAUGUAGUAUUUCUAGCCUUCCUCUUGUAGGAGUGGAUUCCCACUGUAGAAACACAUCUGAUGUCCUAACAUAAAGGCGCAUACAGAUGUUGUAUGACAAUACGAGUGUGUUCUGUGACCUUAGUGGAGGCAAAGGAAUGUUUGAAAUGGAGCCGGAAGCUAGUCCAUGGAAAAUUUUUUCCAAUCAAUUGCAAACAAAGCGUUCCGUUUUCAUUGACACCUAGUUAAAAUGAGGUUUUUCUCCCAUUGGGAAUAUACAUGAGGACGCAGCGAAUACUUUUGUGGUUUUGUGCCAUAUCAUGAAAUCAUUUUUCAAAUUUUUGCAAAUGACAUUAAUAGAAAUUAUUCUGAUAUCUACAAGUGAAUUGAAACCAAACAGAACCAACCCAGAUCAUUCCAAAAGUAGUAAACCAUUAAGAAGAAGAGAUAAAUUGCUAAUAGAAAUAAUAAAUAGGCUCUUAGAUUAUUUAAUGAUGCAAUUAAUGAAGAAAAGUGAUUAUGUGAACAUAUUUUUUUUUUAAUUUUUUUUUCAACGUUUAUUUAUUUUUGGGAUAGAGAGAGACAGAGCAUGAACGGGGGAGGGGCAGAGAGAGAGGGAGACACAGAAUUGGAAACAGGCUCCAGGCUCUGAGCCAUCAGCCCAGAGCCUGACGCGGGGCUCGAACUCCCAUUCCGCGAGAUCGUGACCUGGCUGAAGUCGGACGCUUAACCGACUGUGCCACCCAGGCGCCCCUAUGUGAACAUAUUUAAAUUUCUUUAUGAUUUGACAAGGAUAGUCAUGUUGACAAAGAUAACGCAACUCGUAAUUACACCACUACAGUGAGGACAUUGGCAACAAACUCGUUAACAGAGAGCACUGUCAAUUCAAAACAUCUAAGAUAAGGCACAAAACAACAAAAACUAGAAAUGCUCUGAAAUCUUAAGACUCACAUAUGACAAGAAAAAGUUUCCCCAAAUUGACUAUAAUCCUAAACAUUUAUGUGAUGAUACCAAUAAUAAGACAAGAGGCUCACAAACUUUCCUAAAUUAUUAAUAAAAGACAAAUUUGAUCAACCAUGUACAGGAAAGAUUUAUACUUUCUAGAUAAAAAAUAUAAAAUCUUUGCCAUACGAAGAGGUAAUCCAGCAUAUGGAGUUCAUAAAAAAAAUAAUGAAAAAUUAUAAGGCGUUUUAGAAAAUCAAGUAACAAUAUCAUGGUAGAAUAGUAUAUGUGUGUUGAGGAUGGAAUUCAGGAACUCUCUUAGAGUUUCUUUUUUUUAAGUUUAUUUCUUUCUUUUGAGAGAGAGAGAGAGUAUGUGUGUGCAAGUAGGGGAGGGGCUGAGAGAGAGAGAGAGAGGGAGAGAGAGAAUCCCAAGCAGGCUGUACACUGUCAGCGCAGAGCCCAUGCAGGGCUCAAUCUCACGAACUGUGAGAUCAUGACCUGAGGCGAAAUAAAGAGUCAGACACUUAGCCAAAUGAGCCACCCAGGCACCCCUCUUAGAGUUUAUAAAGUGGAAAAAAAAACCCAAAAACAAAUGAGGAUCACUUCCCUGAACGAUGGUAUCUAGAGAAAAGAAAAUUUACUUUGGACUUGAAGUGUCUUGAGUUUAAAUCCCAGUCCCUCCACUUAAAUAGUUGUGUGACUGUGAGACUUGAUUUCUACAUUUGUAAAAAUAGGCAGAAUAUUAAGUGUCUUUUAGAGCUUUUGUGAAAAUUAAAUGCUACUACUAAAAUUAAAUGAAGCUAUAAAAAUUAAAUGAAUAGGGCUCUUCUAAAGUAAAUGUGCUCAGUAGAAGGUGUUCUGUAAAUGUUAGCUUCCUUCUGAAAUAUAUAGAGCAGGAUGUCAACUUAUGCAAAGAAUGUAAAUUUGUUCUGGUCAUAAAUGUCAAUGCAUUUUCUGACAAUGCCCAUGAAUUUGUAUAGACUAUAUGGAUUAUGUUUCACCUUUUUGCCUUAUCCUCAAGCUAAUACCAAAUAGGCAUUGACAUAUAUGGGCAAUUUAUGAAAGAAGAAAUAAGAAUGUCUGGUAAUAUAGCCAGAGUUGUUUAACGUACCUGGUCAUCAGACAUGGAUGUAAACAACCAAAUACCAUUUAAUCACUCAGAUUGGCAAAAGAAGAUUGAUAAAAAGAACGGAAAAGGCUGCCUGCAGUUGGUAAGGGUCCAAGAGAGUGACACUCUCAUAACAAUGAGUGGCUGGAGUUCAAAUUGGCACAGCUGUUCUGAGGCCAGUGUAAAAGUACAGUUGCCCCUGGGGGUGCCUGGGUGGCUCAGUCAGUCAAGCUUCCAACUCUUGAUUUUGACUCAGAUCAUGAUCUCACGGUUUCAUGGGAUGGAGCCCGCAUUGGGCUCUGCGCUGACAGCGUGGAGCCUGCUUGGGAUUCUCUCUUUCUGUCUCUGUCUCCAUCUGCCCCUCCGCCCACCAAAUAAAUAAACAUUAACAUUUUUUAAAGCCCCCUGUUUAAAAAAAGAAAAAGUACAGUUGACUGCAAAACAAUUACAGGGUUUAAGGGCUCCAAGCCCCCACUUCCUGCACAGCUGAAAACUGUGUAUGACUUUUGACCCCCAGAAACUAACUAUUGGUAGCUAACAACUGACCAGAAGCCUUACCAAUAAACUAAGGAAUUGAAUAACUCAUCUUUUUUAUGUUAUUAUGUGCUAUAUGCUGUGUUCUUACAAUAAAGUAAGCUAGAGAAAAUAAAUGUUAUUAAAAUUAUAAGGAAGAGAAAAUUCACAUUCACAGUACUCUGCAGCAAAAAAUCUGUGUAUAAGUUCAAACCUGUGUUGUCCAGAGUCAACUAUAGACUAAAACGACAACAAAGAAAACCCUUUAAAAAAUGUUUAUCCUGGGGGCUCCUGGGUGGCUCAGUCGGUUGAGCAUCCGACUUUGACUCAGGUCAUGUUCUCACAGUUUGUGAGUUCGAGCCCUGCGUCAGGCUCUAUGCUAACAGCUCAGAGCCUCGAACCUGCUUUGGAUUCUGUGUCUCCCUCUCUCUGUGCCCCUCCCCCACUUGUGCUCUGUCUCUCUCAAAAAAUAAAUAAACAUUAAAAAAAAUUUUUUUAAUGUUUCUCCUGCAUUUAAAGCUAAACAUGGCCACCCAAUGACCACUUCUAGUUUGCUUCCAAAAAAUGUAUACAUACGUCCUCCAAAAGGCAUGUACAGAACUGUUCAUAGCAACUUUAUUCAUAGUAGUUUAAAUGGCCAUCUACAAUAAACUGAAUCAAAUUGUGUAUUCAAACAAAACACUACAUAGUGAUAUAAUGAGUAAAUUACUGGGGCGCCUGGGUGACUCAGUCGGUUAAGCGUCCGACUUCGGCUCAGGUCAUGAUCUCGCAGUUCGUGGGUCCGAGCCCUGCUGUACUGACAGCUCAGAGCCUGGAGCCUGCUUCAGAUUCUGUGUCUCCCUCUGUCUCUCUUCCUUUCCCCUGCUUGUAUUUUCCCUUUCUCUCUCUCUCUCUCUCUCUCAGAAAUAAAUAAAUUUUUAAAAAGUGAAUUACUGCUAUACCCUGUAGCAUGGAUGAAAAUCACAUACAUCAUGUUGAGUGGAAGAAGCCAGAAACAAAAGAAAUACACACCCUGUCAUUCCAUUUCUGUGAAGUUCAAGAACCUGAGGUAGGUACUAAUUAGGAAGGGGCAUGAAGGAGCAUUCUAGGGAGCCGUAUAUGUUUAAUACAUAGAUCCUAGGUAGUGGGAAUAUAGCUGUACACACAGGUGUAAAAUUCAAAUAGGCAUAUGCUUAAGAUUUAUUCAUUGGAUGUGUGUAUGUUAUGCUUCAACUAAAACAUUUUAUGAAAACAACCUUUGAUUUAGCAAUUAGGUUUUCAUCCUAAAGGAAAACUCAGAGGAAUACAAAAAAGGUUUACAUGGAAGUACGAUUUUUUAUUUAUAGUAGCAAAAAUCUAGGAAUCAGUUAUUAAGGAAGUAGUUACAUAAAUUAUGGUGCCUUUAAACAGUAGAAUGCUGUGUCAUCUUUAAAUAAGAUGAAACGGGGGCACCUGGGUGGUUCAAUCGGUUGAGCAUCUGAAUUUCGGCUCAGGUCAUGAUCUCGCGGCCCGUGAGUUCGAGGCCCACGUCGGGCUCUGUGCUGACAGCUUUAAGCCUGGAGCCUGCUUCGGAGUCUGUGUCUCCCUCUCUCUCUGCCCCUCCCCCACUUAUGCUCUGUCUCUCUCUCUCUCUCUCUGUCAAAAAUAAAUAAACCUUAAAAAAAUAAAAAAUAAGAUGAAAUAGAAGAAUAGCUAAAAAAUGUGGAAAGAAGGUCAUAAUAUAUUGUGGGAAAAGGAUGGGUUAACCAAAUGGUUUUUAAGGCUUAAUACUAUACUUGGUUAAAAUAUGUGAGAUACAUAUAUUUCUAUGGAAAUGUAUAUACCCAUAGAACAUGCUGUUUCAUAUACAACCCACACACCUAUCUCUAGUGAGAUUAUAGGUAUAUUUUCUUUCCUUUCUAUUUUUUUAAACCAUUUUCUACAUUGAAUUGUGUCUUUUUGUAAUCUGCAAAAAUUUAAAAAUUUAGAAAGGGACAGAAAAAAACCAAGAGCAAGCAAACUGUUACAUACAUUCUGCAUUCUAGGUGUGCCUUAAUGAAGGUGGUUAACCUCUCAAACCCAGUUCCUGUCUGUAAAAUGUGGAUAACGGCACCUGUCUUACAGCAUUGUUAACUGGAUUGCAUUAAAUCAUAUAUAUAGCGUGAUCUAUAUACAGUGGUUAGCAGUGUGUGUGAUGGCCACACCGUGAGCACUUUAUUAUUAUUUUUUUAAUGUUUUUAAAUUUAUUUUUGACAGAGAGACAGAGCGUGAGCAGGAGAGGGGCAGAGAGACAGAUGGAAACACAGAAUCUGAAGCAGGCUCCAGGCUCUCAGCUGUCAGCACAGAGCCCGACGCGGGGCUCGAACUUACCAACAGUGAGAUCAUGACCUGAGUCGAAGCUGGCCACUUAACUGACUGAGCCACCCAGGCACCCCCACCGUAAGCACUUUAUAAAUACCAGCCACUGCAUUCAUCUGGGAUGUUGGCUAAGACUCCCGAGUUACUAGCGCUGACUUCACUGUUCUUUUUACUGUGGGUCUCUAUUCACAUGGUCAUCACGUGUUCCUUUAAAGGGUAAGCAGAACACUGCUGGCUAUGGGGUGGAGGGUCCUGACGUGUCCUGUCAUCUGAAAGGCCACAAGGAAACCCUGUCUGAUUAGGGGCACGCAUUCUGACAGCCAGGCCUCAGCACUCUUGGGUAGAUGCAUCACAUCCCAACUGAUACUGAGAGCCAGGAGCCCGAGUGGCGCCCAGGUUCCACAGCAUCCUGAGCGCUACAAAUCCAAGCAGAAAGUUAGGAACAUGCCGAUCGCUUUCUGUGGGGUUUUCUUCCUCCCGAUCACUGGGGACGUGUAUUGCGCAGUCAGGUUUAAUUUCAGUCUUUCAUUGUGUGUCCUCUUUCCUUUACUCCUGCUUUCCCUGUUUUUGUUUCUAUUUCCACUUUUUUUUUUUUCCUACACUGUUCAUUUCCUGGGCUGCUUCUGUGCUUUCUUCUCCCCACACCAAUUCGCCCCCACCUCGUCUCCUCUCUCCCCUCCUUCCUUUCCUUUCUCUCUCUUCCUUUGCGUCUCUCUUGAGACAGGUCUAGUGGCCUGGUUGCCAUCUGCUGCCUUUUUUUUUUUUUAUGAGGUUGAGAUCAGAUGGCAUCUAAUCGAUCGUCAUGGUCUCCAUGGUUACCAGGGUGACAGAGCACUUGGGAGAGACACAUUCUCCAGCCUGGGGCUGUCAGAUCAUUCCUGUGAGGGGGAAAGAAAAUAAAACCUCUUCCAUCAUAUUCACACAUUUACAUCUUUCCCAAAUGCACCAAAACACAGACCCUGUUUAUGUUUUACAUAGCUACCUACCUAGUGGCUCCAGGCCAGGGAAUGCAGAGUGACUUUUUCUAUUAAAAAAAAAAACAAAAAAAAAAAACCCAGAAAACAAAAAAUAAAAAAAACAAAAAACCAAGAAGCACACAAGCACAAGGACUUCACUUCCAGUAAAGAUCUUUUUUUGAACCCCAAAGUACCCCAUGACCCCCAUAGACCCAGAGCAUCAUCUUUUCUUUUUCUUUCCCCUUUUACUGUUUGGACAUUAACUUAGUAAUUCUAAUGAGUUGUCAUUCUUGCAGUAAAUCGCGGAGUAGUUCUAAAAUGAACAGGUGACAACUAUUUGCUUUGGAGAAAGGAACAGCCACUCCCAGAACUAUCUCCCCACACUUGAGCCUUUGAUUACGAUCAGUGGUGACAUUUGUUGGGACUUCUUGUUUGGCCGCGACAUAUUUGUAGUACAGGAAGCCAUUUUCCCCAGGAAGAGCAGUCACAUAGGAUGAACUGUAAACAAAAUAACCCUUCCUAAUACAAAAAAGUGCCGGGCGUGACUGUGGUCUGAAGCGCUUUAAUGCGCAAGGGCGGCCCAUCCGGCAGAGAUUUAGAGAGGCAGCCGGGCCUUAUUAUAAUAGAAUAUGGUGGUGUUGACAGCCCAGGUCUGGUUGAAAAAGACAGGAGACACAUCUUGGUACCAGGUAAGGCUAUAUAUAACGAAUGGAACACUUGCUAGAUUUUUGGAGAAACUCUGAGAAAAGAAAGCAAGCAAUCAGCAUAUCAUUAAGCAAUGGUAAAACACACCUUCAGCGUCAGGCACUGAUGACUUGGGCUAUCGGCUAUUUGACUUCCUCUCCUGGUAAUAUUUGAUGCUACAUAGCGAUUAUUAGAAAUUGUUUUGUUUUUAAUCUUUGUCAGAAGAAAAGAAAAUACCUUAAAAUCAUGGCACAGGUAGAGGGCCUCUGAGCAGUGAUUUUUCAUUUAAGGAAAAACGUCACCCCAAAGAUGGGCCGUACCUCCUUCUCCUUCCUUUGUCUCUGACGUCUCCUCAGACCUCCUCCACCUCCUGUACAGUAUCUUAGUAAGACUCAGAUAUAUUCAUCCGCGGUGCCUUCGGCUGUUAAGCAAAUAUCACACUGAUAUUUGAAAUAGAAAUGAUGCCAUCAAUUGGAGAAGAGACUUUAAUAUAACGGGAAAAUAAUUUCUCAUGAACAUGAACCUUCUUACUCACUUUGCGCCUCUGCCUCUUUGCUAACGCCUGUCCCCAACCCCUUCUGGCCACUUCUUCCCGCCCUCCCCUCUUUCCUGGCCAUCUCCAUAGCAUGGCCUCAGAACCGCUCUGACUUAAGUCCCGUCUCCUCAGAAGAGCUCCCCCCUCACCGCCUCCCCAUGGCACGGAGGCCUGAACCCCUAUUUUCUUAUGGUCUACACCCACUCAGGACUUACCUGUGCUGCCUGUACCCUUGCUGAUAUGUUUGUUACGUGUAUCUUUUGCCUGUCAUUUCAACGGUAAGCUCCAGAAGGGAGAGACCGUGUCUCCUACUUUGGGGCUCUCCCCUGGCAUUCCAGGUAGUCAGCCCUGGCUAAAUGUUUGAGAGGGGGUGGUAGCAGCCCGUUGUGCCUACAGUGGCCUAGCCGGCUUUCCUUUGUAAGGCGUUGGUUCUCAGCACGUCUUGACCUGCGCUGAUGUUACUUUGCAUCAGCCGGAGGCUUUCUCUACCUCCUUGUCUCCCUCGCCCAUACUCUUGUGUACAGAGAAGGUGGGUUCCACCUUGGAAUGAAAUGAGUCAUUUGUUCCCAUCAGGACAACUGCCACAGCAUGGUGUCAACUCACUCUUGCCUUUGGUAAAUUGAGUUUGUCAGUGCUCAGCCACACAGCUGAGUGAAGUGUUGUGUGAUGCGGGGCUGUCUCCUGGGAGAGAGAAACUGGCAUAAACCACAUCCUAAUGGGAUCCAGAAACAAAGAAGCGUGAAUGAAGUGUUAAUUGCAUUCAUAAAGACAUUAACAAAGGAAUUAAAAUGGCAGAAGCUUCCGUUCCCCCACUCAAGAUUCACAGAAAAACAUGUUAUCCAAAGAAUGUUUUAACAAUAAUCAUCAAAGUUUAUUGCUUGGCCACCACAGAGAUAACUCUCAAUAAAUAUUAACUUUUCAAAGGAUAAACAUUUUUUGUUCAUUAUCUCGAGUGUAUUAACUAGCAGACAGUUGAUUCUAUCCCACCUCCAGUUCUUUUCUUGCUCCUUGCUGCCUUUGUAUGAUUUAAGUUUCCAGAAAAUCAAGAGGCAUUUUCAAUGCUGCUUCAUUAGCCAUAAGGAGGUCUGUUAACAGUUUGAACCUAAUCAAUCCUACAGUUCUUAUUAGAGCAAAAUGCUCAUUAUCUGGAAGCCUUUUUGCUUUUUGAAGUAAAAUUGCAGGACUGGGGGUUUAUUUUACAGUCCUUCUUGAAUAUCUCCGAGAUCAUCUGCAAUGUGGGCAACCUGGGGCUCCCUCCCCCUGCCCUUUGGCAGGGCCCUCAGCUGCAGACAGCCAGGCUAAGCUGGCAAAAGGUCAGAAGGCUGCAUUUGACUGAAGACGGGUCACAUUGAUGAAAAUCAUGCCUGCUUAAUGAAGUCAAGGCCACGGAUUUGGGGUGUUUAUGGUUCUUCUCAUUUCACUCAAUUUCACCUUCACAGACCAUACCACUAAUCCCAGCCAAUCGUCCUGCAUCUAUGUGCAACCGGUGACUGAGGGAUAAAAGUCAACGAAUUUCAUCUGGAAAACAGAGACUGGAAAUCUCUGUCUAUACAGAAGUGAAACUAAAAAGUGUG
rnacentral:lncRNA from 1 species